UUUUGCAGCAGUACCAACUUAUGCAGUGAUCUCUUAAAAUCUUACAAGCUAAGAAGAGUCAGACCUGGCCAGUAUUUGAAUGGGAACCCCCCAGUGAAAACUUAGUUCUGCAAGAA
ensembl:rRNA 5S_rRNA 5S ribosomal RNA